rnacentral:tRNA from 2 species
UGGUGUAGCACAGUGGUAGUGCAGCUGAUUCGUAAUCAGCAGGUCGUAAGUUCAAAUCUUAUCACC